GACGAACCUGACGAACGUUAUCCGGAAUCAUUGGGUUUAAAGGGUCCGUAGGCGGAUAGGUAAGUCAGUGGUGAAAUCCGGCAGCUCAACUGUCGCACUGCCAUUGAUACUGUCUAUCUUGAAUUACUGUGAAGUGGUUAGAAUAUGUAGUGUAGCGGUGAAAUGCUUAGAUAUUACAUGGAAUACCAAUUGCGAAGGCAGAUCACUAACAGUAUAUUGACGCUGAGGGACGAAAGCGUGGGGAGCGAACAGG
rnacentral:misc_RNA from 1 species